rnacentral:rRNA from 1 species
CCUACGGGAGGCAGCAGUGGGGAAUUUUGGACAAUGGGCGCAAGCCUGAUCCAGCCAUGCCGCGUGCGGGAAGAAGGCCUUCGGGUUGUAAACCGCUUUUGUCAGGGAAGAAAUCCUUUGGGCUAAUACCUCGGAGGGAUGACGGUACCUGAAGAAUAAGCACCGGCUAACUACGUGCCAGCAGCCGCGGUAAUACGUAGGGUGCGAGCGUUAAUCGGAAUUACUGGGCGUAAAGCGUGCGCAGGCGGUUAUGCAAGACAGAUGUGAAAUCCCCGGGCUUAACCUGGGAACUGCAUUUGUGACUGCAUAGCUCGAGUACGGCAGAGGGGGAUGGAAUUCCGCGUGUAGCAGUGAAAUGCGUAGAUAUGCGGAGGAACACCGAUGGCGAAGGCAAUCCCCUGGGCCUGUACUGACGCUCAUGCACGAAAGCGUGGGGAGCAAACAGGAUUAGAUACCCUGGUAGUCCACGCCCUAAACCGAUGUCAACUGGUUGUUGGACGGCUUGCUGUUCAGUAACGAAGCUAACGCGUGAAGUUGACCGCCUGGGGAGUCGGCCGCGAGGUUGAAACGUUAAGAGUAGUGCGNGNGAGAGCGACGACGACGACGACGGAGGGAGGAG